UAGAAAUGCAGCGUAAACUUGGCAACAUUGCAAGCAUUUGUCAAUUCGUCGCCAUUUCGUUCUUUGGUGAGAAUUGUGGUUGUGCGUCUUGGAUAUUUUAAAUUAUAAAAUUCAUAAAUGGAUAUUAAGAAGAUGCAGAAACAGGAACCGCCUAUUUCCGAAAAAGUGAAUAAGGACAAUUCAGCACCGUCAAAUCCUGCUUCCAUUCCAUCUACACCUCAGAAUUCUGUAAAUGGUGGUGCCACUAAUGUUGGGAACAACAGUGGAAGAGGGAAGCGUGGAAGCGGUAGAGGUGGUGUAGGAAGAGGUGGACAAGGAGGAAGAAACAAUCAAGGCAACGGCAAGAAUGGGAAUGGUGCUGGACGAUUUCAGAGGAAUGCCAAUAAUAAUAAUCUUGGCCAAAACCAUACAGAGAAAAAGUGGGAAGACAAUUCCCACGGUAAUGGGCAUCAAAAAUUGUCUGAGGAUCGGCAGUUAUUAGAGAAACUUGCAACAUUAUCCAAUUCAACUGCUGAGCUUCCAAUUAGAUCCUUCACUGAAACCAAAUUUUCAGGUCGCAGCAGGUUAUAUGUCGGAAAUCUAGGCAAUGACAUAGUAGAGCAGGAUUUAAAAGAAUAUUUUUCUGCUUAUGGAGAAAUCGCUGAAGUAUUCCUAAACAAGGAAAAGGGAUUUGCUUUUGUCAGAUUGGACUAUCGUUCGAAUUCCGAAAAGGCUAAGCGCGAAUUGGAUGGCAAAGUUUUGAAAGGCCGCACAUUACGUGUUCGCUCCGCUCCGCAUAGUGCCGCUGUCCGCGUGAAAAACUUGUCUCCCUUCGUCACUAAUGAAUUACUAGAAAAAGCCUUUUCUAUAUUUGGAGAUAUUGAAAGAGCUAUCGUGGUUGCUAAUGAGCGUGGGCAGUCGACGAAUGAAGGUGUAGUCGAGUUCGUUCGUAAGCCAGGUGCCCAAGCAGCAAUUCGUCGCUGCACAGAUGGAUGUUUCUUCCUUACUUCGUCGUUACGACCUGUAGUGGUAGAGCCAAUGGAACAGUUAGACGAUGAGGAUGGAUUCUCAGAGCGUGCAUUUACUAAAAAGACGCCAGAAUUCUCGAAAGAGAGAGAAGCGGGGCCAAGAUUUGCUGAGCCCAACAGCUUUCAAUUCACUUACGGUCAACGUUGGAAACAAUUGCUCGAGCUGUACAAGCAAAAGAUGGAUGCUGUUGAGCGCGAACUGAAAAUUGAAGAAGAUAAGCUUGUUUCUCAGAUGGAGUAUGCUCGGUAUGAACAUGAAACAGAGCUUCUCCGCGAACAACUCAGACAGCGCGAACAGGAUCGGGAGAGGCAAAAACGUGACUGGGAAAUGAAAGAGCGUCAACACGAAGAAUCCCGAUUGCGGGAAGAAGAAACUCUUCGCCGACAACAGGACGAAAUGCAGCACCGAUUGCGUCAACAAGAAGACGAAAUGCGUCGUCGUCAACAAGAGAACACCAUGUUCAUGCAGGAGCAAAAUACAGAAGCGUCUCCCCCAGAUUUCCGUCGACCACUUCAGCCUCCCAUUUUUGAUCGCCCUAUGAUGGGUGGCAACGGACCUCACAAUCUCAUGGAUCUUCAAAUGGUCUAGGAUUUAACGGAUAACAACCAUACUUUUGUCUCCGUGCCAAAAUAGAUAUUGCUCUCGACCUAAAUUGAAGUCACAAGAAGCAGCGAAAUUAUUCAUUGCAACUACAGUGGAUUCACUGAAGCAGAAAAUCCGCCAGUCCAUUAGCACAAUGGAAACUGGUUUUGGGAACCGACGGCACUCUUCAUUAUUUGUUGAGGUCUUGUCUAUUGCGUGAGCAGAUUCCGCUGGAGGAAAAAUGAACCUAUUGAAUGGAUUCGUCUUUCCGUUGGCGUGAAAGGCGGAUUGCACUGUCUGGAAAGGCUGACUCUGCUCCUGAGCGUUCCCAUUCAUCUCUCCUGGCAUCCUGACUAAAUAGAAAAAAUCCUUCCGCACCAUACGGAGGUAUAGACUGUGUUGGAAGUCGAGGCGCCGGUUUCUCUCCGUCAACUCAACCCAAAAGGACUAAGGGAAAAUCUAAUAGAAGGAAGACAAUGACGAAAGAACAAAGGAGCUUAAAUAAGGACUCCACGGGUAUAGCAAAUACCGAGAAAAAAAAAACAAAGAAGAAUCGAUUGGGCUUAGAUACAUCUCUUCCAGAAUUAUCUUUAUUUAUCCUAGAUGACAAGUUGUGUCGUUGCCUUUCCCUAAAUCAAACUAGAACGUCGUUGUUGGGACGAACGAGCUACAGGAAAAUAGGCAACCUGCAUUGGCUAGACCAAAGUAAUAGAAAACGUGAGCAAAAGAUUAGAAUGAGAACCAGCACCCCCUAGUGUAUAUGCUCCAUUAAGAUAUACGGGACAACUUAUUAUACUGGAGCGCGCGCCUACGCCAUGCCCUUAUUACGAAACCCCCUGUAAUUGUCCAGUAUCGAUUAAUUUUUCAAGCGCUCGUCAUCAUUCUCCGUUUUCUUCGUUCGCGCCUUUGCUAUAAGGUUACAGCAUGCAAUUUGUACCAACCUAUUGUGCUUCUCAAAAUGAAAUAAAGUAAAUCGGCGGCUAAAUCUCACAAA